CGGUAACAGAUCCAGCUUGCUGGAUGCUGACGAGCGGCGGACGGGUGAGUAACGCAUAGGAAUUUACCCGGUAGUGGGGGAUAACCUGGGGAAACUCAGGCUAAUACCGCAUACGUCCUACGGGAGAAAGGGGGCUUUGGCUCCCGCUAUCGGAUGAGCCUAUGCCGGAUUAGCUGGUUGGUGAGGUAAUGGCUCACCAAGGCGACGAUCCGUAGCUGGUCUGAGAGGAUGAUCAGCCACAUCGGGACUGAGACACGGCCCGAACUCCUACGGGAGGCAGCAGUGGGGAAUAUUGGACAAUGGGGGCAACCCUGAUCCAGCCAUGCCGCGUGUGUGAAGAAGGCCCUCGGGUUGUAAAGCACUUUCAGCGAGGAAGAACGCCUGGUGGUUAAUACCCGCCAGGAAAGACAUCACUCGCAGAAGAAGCACCGGCUAACUCCGUGCCAGCAGCCGCGGUAAUACGGAGGGUGCAAGCGUUAAUCGGAAUUACUGGGCGUAAAGCGCGCGUAGGUGGCUUGAUAAGCCGGUUGUGAAAGCCCCGGGCUCAACCUGGGAACGGCAUCCGGAACUAUGAGGCUAGAGUGCAGGAGAGGAAGGUAGAAUUCCCGGUGUAGCGGUGAAAUGCGUAGAGAUCGGGAGGAAUACCAGUGGCGAAGGCGGCCUUCUGGACUGACACUGACACUGAGGUGCGAAAGCGUGGGUAGCAAACAGGAUUAGAUACCCUGGUAGUCCACGCCGUAAACGAUGUCGACCAGCCGUUGGGUGCCUAGCGCACUUUGUGGCGAAGUUAACGCGAUAAG
rnacentral:rRNA from 1 species